GCUUACGGCCAUACCACCCUGAACACGCCCGAUCUCGUCCGAUCUCGGAAGCUAAGCAGGGUCGGGCCUGGUUAGUACUUGGAUGGGAGACCUGGGAAUACCAGGUGCUGUAAGCU
rnacentral:rRNA from 1 species